rnacentral:rRNA from 1 species
UACGGAGGGUGCAAGCGUUGUCCGGAAUCACUGGGCGUAAAGGGCGCGUAGGCGGCCAUUCAAGUCAGGGGUGAAAGCCUGUGGCUCAACCACAGAAUUGCCUUUGAUACUGUUUGGCUAGAGACCGGAAGAGGUAAGUGGAACUGCGAGUGUAGAGGUGAAAUUCGUAGAUAUUCGCAAGAACACCAGUGGCGAAGGCGGCUUACUGGUCCGGUUCUGACGCUGAGGCGCGAAAGCGUGGGGAGCAAACAGG